ncrna:Danio rerio (zebrafish) microRNA dre-mir-219 precursor (dre-mir-219-3)
CAGGUGCUGAUUGUCCAAACGCAAUUCUUGUGCUUGUGUGAAACAGGAGUUGUGGAUGGACAUCACGCUCCUG